GCCGAAGUGGUGGAAUUGGUAGACACGCCAUCUUGAGGGGGUGGUGGGGCUUCCUCGUGCGGGUUCAAGUCCCGCCUUCGGCA
rnacentral:tRNA from 2 species